GAAACGAACGCAAUCAAUUAAUAGUGUUAAGAGUCUCAAAAACUGCGAAAGAAUAGAAAAAGUAAAUCAACAUGGAUAAUACAACACAUUUGAAGAACACAAUAACACGCAAUUAUACAUAGGGUCAGAUUUCUUUCAAGCCUUAUUUCCAGCCUACAAGAAAACGAAUUACAUAGAACAGCACCAGAGAUAAUGGGUAAAAAGAAAAUGCCAAGAUAAAAGUCCAAAAUGGGUAUGUGUCGUGCCAAUAGCCCAUUACUCCUAUUAUAGCACUAACCACCAUUAGCACUAGGACUUCAGCUGAAAAAUCCCAUGAAAACCCUCUUGCCCAAAUAAGUGCUACAAGGGUCAAUAGGCCUAGAAUAUUGUUCAUGAAUACUGCUCCAUAAAUCUGCAAUACAUGGAAUUAAUGAAAAUCCUUCAAUUAAAUUUUCCUAUGCACAUUCAUGAGAUGAGAAACAAAAGACUAAAGCGAGGGGAUGAACCUCUGAAAACAUUAUUGAACAUGCUCCUUCCUUCUUUUGACUUGCAGGGUAGAUUGUUGCCAUUGCGGUUUUGAAAUUUACAGCGAAAGGAAGCACCACAAAUGAAAUGAAGAAAGAAGGUAUGCCUAAGCGUUCUGAUAAGAGUUGGGUAUUAUUCACCAGAGGCAUUCCAAGGGAAGACACAAUUGCAGUUCCAAGACCAACUCCAAGUAAAGCUUUCAUCAGUGAACGCUUUGACAUUUUUUUGAUACUGCUUUUCUCUUUCUCUAUGCAUUCAUUGAAGAAUUGAGAGGUAGUACCAUCGGAUAGCCUUUUCUUGAAUCCAACCAAAAAUUCUUCCUCAUGCAGCACAUUGUCCUUGUCCAUGUCAAAAACUUUCAUCAUUUUUUUCUCCAGAUCAUCAUGAUCCAAUUUUACACUUCUGAAUUUGCUCUCAAUCAUUUCUCUUAGUUCUUGAACUGUCAUCUUUUUGUCACCAUCUUUGUCAAACUCCACAAAGAGACUUCGUAUCUUCUCUUCAUCAGGUUUUCCAUCAGUGAGAAGGCAAGCAAGUUGUUCGUUCUGGGCAGUGUUUAAAAUUUUUGACAGUUGCUCCUCAAUUUCGAGUAAUUUUCUCUUGCUUUUAUUAAUCCAUGGUUGAACCAUUCGAUGUAUCCCUGGGAAAUAUUGUUUUGAGCUGUCAGUUUUAUCAGCAACCAUUUCCUUGGCAUUACGGACAAAUCUUUCACACCCACCCAGAAACUCAUCCACAGUAAUCAAAUGAUUACUGUCCUGGUCGAAGUGUUUCAUUAGUUGUUUAAUUGCAAAUUCUUCAUCAACAGCCAGAUGCCCAGAUUUCUUGUUUGCUAAGAAUUCUCUGAGUUCAUCUUUUGAUAUGUGAUCAUCAUUAUCUUUAUCAAUCUUACGGAAUGUCCUUUUAAUGCAAGAAGCGUCGACAUUUCCUUCGUCAUUGACAAGAGUUCUUUUAGCAAAAUUUUGCAAAUGAUCCAAGAAUCCAGCCAGCAGAAGCUGAUCCCUUGAAUAUUCUAAACUUCUUUCUUGGAUCCAUUUAUUACGCGACUGAUAACCCAAGUAUGAAACUAAUGCUGCGACAGAUACUGUGAGAGUCACUAUGAGGCUCCAUGGCCGUGACUUGAAGUUACUAGCUACUUCCACAAUUAUAAAUGGAAUUAGUGACAGAAGCAUUAUCCCUGCUGCGUAUCUCGUCUCCUUGUCCGUCUUUACCCCAUAUUCUUUUAAUACUGAUAAUCGCCGUUUAACCCGCAAACACCCUGCAGGAGUCGAGGCAUUUGAUGAUUCUUGCUGAGGAGGUGACAAUUCCUUGGUUAUUUUAGUUCUGCCAAGAAUGACGCAAAUUCCCCACUGUAAUGUCAAGUAAAAAACAGUAGAUCCAGCAAGAGUACCAGCUCCGUUCUCGAUUCUAGCUUGAGCAGCAUCUUUGUUCUGAGCAAGCCCAGAUGCAAGAACUAGCACGAUAGUGGGUAGCACUGUAAGGAUGCGAAAUACAGUGGCACCAUAGAUACCGACACCGAGGAUACUGAAGAGUUGCUGUCUACCCUUUGUUAAGAUUUUGUCACCCACAAGCAGCAGAUAUUCAAGGACUACGAUUUGGAAGAUGAAGCCUGGAAUAUUGGAAGCGCAUGGCAAGAAGCCAUAGGGGUGAGUACAUGUAUGUUUUGUAGAAUUCAGGGCGUUGGAACUUGGAUUUGAAGAGUUAAAAUCAAGGUGACGGACUACUCUAGCAGACACCAGUUCCUCAGAGCUUAAUCUAAUUCCCCGGAGACCUUGCGCAUUUCCUACCACAAGCAGGAUGAGAAUAGCCUGCACCUGCAGAGAAGGAAGGGGCACUACCAUUGAUGCUACAAAACAAUUGCCAAGAUGCCUUUGUUUGGGUCAUGUAGCUGUACCUCUGGAGGCAGCCCAAAAUAUAAAU
rnacentral:misc_RNA from 1 species